rnacentral:tRNA from 1 species
GGCGGGGUAGAGCAGUUUGGUAGCUCGCAAGGCUCAUAACCUUGAGGUCACGGGUUCAAAUCCCGUCCCCGCAA